ensembl:lncRNA
AUUUAUUUCCAUAUUGAUACAUAGUAUGAGUGUCAACAUUUUUAUAUACACUACAGUUCAAAAGUUUGGGGUCACUUAGAAAUGUCCUUAUUUUUGAAAGAAAUCUUUUUUUUCCAAUGAAGAUAACAUAAAAUUAAUCCGAAAUACAGUCUAGACAUUGUUAAUGUGGUAAAUGACUAUUCUAGCUGGAAACAGCUGUUUUUAAUGGAAUAUCUCCAUAGGGGUACAGAGGAACAUUUCCAGCAACCAUCACUCCUGUGUUCUAAUGCUACAUUGUGUUAGUUAAUGGUGUUGAAAGGCUAAUUGAUUAGAAAACUCUUGUGCAAUUAUGUUAGCACAUGAAUAAAAGUGUGAAUUUUCAUGGGAAACAUGAAAUUGCCUGGGUGACACCAACGUUUGGAACAGUAGUGUAUAUCUAGCAUGAAAUCCUACAGUCUCAUAUGUGGUCUACUAUGUUGUUAUAGUGUUACAGCAUAAAGUAUGUUCACAUGUCCUCUGACAAAAGAACCAACUGGUGGUGAGACGCAGCGCAAACUAUUGCAGUACCAUGUAUUUCAGCUUUCAUUUUUGUACUAUUGUUCUUUUUUAAAUUCUGUUAAAUGCUUUUUAAUGAAGAUUUUUUUUUACACCAAUACUCCUCUAUGACUUUCUUAUCCGACUCUUCUGCUCUUUAUUCAUUUUCUUUCUCUUCUGUUCAGCAUCCAAACUCUUUUCAAACCCACCAGUUGAUUCAUAAAACAGAGCCUCAGCUUUGAGUCAAAACAGACAGUGUAUGCAUUCCUGAUGUACAAAAUGGGGAUCAAGUACAGAAAUACACUAAUUAUCAAAGGAGAAAAUGCUUGUGUCUGAGUAUUUUUCUCAGUGUAAUUGUCAAAUAUCAAUUUCAUAAGGACUUAGAACAAUUGAUACUUUGAGGAUGAAGAUGAUUUCUAUAUUAAGAAGCCAAUUUCAGGAAAAAUUAGAUGGGGGGAAAACUUUUCCUCCUUGUUAUUAUCCUUCUGACUUUAGUCGGGGUCACAGUGGCCAUCCAUGAGGCGAAGGUGAAAGGAACAGAGGCGAGUCAGGACCUCCUCCAUGGUGUCAGGAGGAACAAGGACACAUAACCUAUGAGACAGAAGACACAAGACAAACACCUUUUGGAGAAAAUGCAACAUACAGUACCAUGUUAAUGUG